rnacentral:rRNA from 1 species
AGAGUUUGAUCCUGGCUCAGGACGAACGCUGGCGGCGUGCUUAACACAUGCAAGUCGAACGAGGUCCAUGGUGCUUGCACCGGAAGACCUAGUGGCGAACGGGUGAGGAACACGUGAGAAACCUGCCCCGGACUUCGGGAUAACAGUUGGAAACGACUGCUAAUACCGAAUACCGCUGCGGAGUCGCAUGGCUCUGCAACGAAAGAAUUUCGGUCCGGGAGGGUCUCGCGGCCUAUCAGCUAGUUGGUGGGGUAACGGCCUACCAAGGCAUCGACGGGUAGCUGGUCUGAGAGGAUGAUCAGCCACACUGGGACUGAGACACGGCCCAGACUCCUACGGGAGGCAGCAGUGGGGAAUCUUGCGCAAUGGGCGAAAGCCUGACGCAGCAACGCCGCGUGCGGGAAGAAGGCCUUCGGGUUGUAAACCGCUUUCAGCAGGAACGAAAAUGACGGUACCUGCAGAAGAAGGUGCGGCCAACUACGUGCCAGCAGCCGCGGUGACACGUAGGCACCAAGCGUUGUCCGGAUUUAUUGGGCGUAAAGAGCUCGUAUGCGGUUCAGUAAGUCGGGUGUGAAAACUGUGGGCUUAACCCACAGCCUGCACUCGAAACUGCUGUGACUAGAGUUCGGUAGGGGAGCGGGGAAUUCCUGGUGUAGCGGUGAAAUGCGCAGAUAUCAGGAGGAACACCGGUGGCGAAGGCGCCGCUCUGGGCCGACACUGACGCUGAGGAGCGAAAGCGUGGGUAGCAAACA